GCAAGGAAUAAAAUGUGCCAUCUUAGAAAAUUUGUCCACUACUACAAAUGUAGAAUCUUUACCUUACCUAGACCUAGGCAAUCCCAAAAUAAAGUCUAUAGACAAACCAAUCCAUGGUUCACUAGGUAUAGGCAAAGGUGUAUAUAAGCUUUAAGGUAAGACCUUAGACUUUGCUUUUUUACAUGUGAUACGCCUAGAACACACUUUCUCAACAUCUCUCUUCAUAUGAGGCCAAA
rnacentral:misc_RNA from 1 species